GUCUGUACUGUAUGCCGUGGAGGUCAUCAGAACCUUAUUUUUUAUUUGCUUUGCAAUAAAAAGUGAGGUUCCAGUGUGAAAAUGUAAAAAGAAACACAAUUCCUUUUAGUAGCAAGUAUAAAAUAGAUGCUAAGAUCGGAUGAAGAACUCCAUAAAUAUAUAUCAACAAAAUUUUUAACUAUCUCUAUAUAAAUAUUAAUGUCAUUAUAUUUUAGCAAAUGCUCAAUAUGUUAAUGCUUUACCUUUGCAGUAUGUGAAAUAGCAUUAUAUUUUGCAUUCGGAAGACUGAAUAAAUGGAAAUUAGCAUUUUGACCAAUUCCGGUGUAUUUACAGCAAUAUUUUAUGUUCAUCUAUAUUCAUUUUCCCUUUAAAAAAAUCUAUCCAGUUCAACUUCCUAAAGGCCUCAACAGUCCAGACUGUUGCUUUUCUGCAUGUAAACCUUUCCUGGUUACUUUACAGAUACGGUUCCAAAAGCAUCUAUUAGCUUAAGCAGAUGUGAUAAACGUGGGUGAUUUCUAAAAGGGCAGGUUGUCGAGUAAUAACAGUUUUUCACCUUGUCUAAUGUUAUCCGGUCAUCAAGGAGCUGUGGCUUAUCUGGCUUUGUUUCCAGGUGGAUCAGCAGCAUAAAAACAUCAAAGUUUUUAUCAAAAUUUCAAUCUAAGAUACAGUUCUAAAGCUGAAUCAGGUUAAAUAUUUCCCCAGAGAGUGUUUUUUAAAAUUUAUUUAUUUUUUUCAUCUUUUAUUAACCACAGACCACACAUGCUCAGACAGACACACUCUGUUUCUCUCACAUGCCGCUCUGUCAGGACCAGUGUUACCCAAGUCCUGCACAGAGAGGAAUUGAACUCUUGCUCAUCUGAGAGAGGAAACUGUGAUGAAUUCGAUCCUGAGAACAAUCAAACAUAGGUAUGGGAUAAAUCUAUCACCCUGCUCUCAGAAAGCAACUGGAGGCCUGCUUUCCGGAUGACUUUAACAAAGGAAAAGAAACCUCAUGAAUUUUUUUUAAUACUCACAAAUAAAUUCCUUUAAUCUUGUUGCCAUUUCUUUGCCCCCAGUGGGAAAAGUCCAGAAGGAGCCGUCAAAGAAAAGAGGGGAAUAGAAAGGUGGUGGGGCGGACAGGAGGAAAUUGAAUGGCUUAAAUUUCUGUGUAUCACACUUUUGCAUACUUUCAAAAGAUCAGUUAAGGGAAUUAUUAUGCAGCUGAAAAAUUACCUUCCUUCCUCUUGUGCAUAUAUACCAUUACUGUAGCUCUCCAGUGUAGUUCAGUAAUCUAGAGAGUGAAGGAUUGUGUUGGAUAUUGGUGAUACUUUAUAUUCUCCUGUUGGUGUAUGUCAAGCUUAGAUUUUUUUUGGUACCAGUUCAAAAAAAUGCAUGAUAGUAGAUACGUUUUUAGUGGGGUUAGGGGUUUCUGUAACAAUAAUUUGUUGUAGUGCAAAAAAGAUGACUGCUAUAAAAACUUUUAUGUUUUCUUUACUAUAUAUUUAAUAUAACUGAUUAGAUUUUCAACAUGAACACCAACAAUUAUAGAGCCAUGAAAAGUCACUUCUGCUUUUUCAGUUUUUGUCACACUUCAAGUUGUGACAAAUCCUCUGUGGCCACAAUAACAAGCAAACAUUUGCAUUAAUUGUAAAUUAGUCUUUUUUAUCACUUUGGAAGAAUUUUGGCAAACUUGUCUUGGCAAAACUGUUGAACCUGAGUUCACGUCUCUAGCUACACUCAGAACUGAUUACUGCCUCACCUGUUCUAAAUCAAGACAUCGCUUAAAUAGGACCUGACUCACAAAGUGAAGAACACCAAAACAUCCUCAAGAACUAGACAUCAUGCUGAGUUUUAAAAAAAAAACUGAAACA